rnacentral:rRNA from 1 species
GAUGAACGCUGGCGGCGUGCCUAAUACAUGCAAGUCGAGCGAACAGACGAGGAGCUUGCUCCUCUGACGUUAGCGGCGGACGGGUGAGUAACACGUGGAUAACCUACCUAUAAGACUGGGAUAACUUCGGGAAACCGGAGCUAAUACCGGAUAAUAUAUUGAACCGCAUGGUUCAAUAGUGAAAGACGGUUUUGCUGUCACUUAUAGAUGGAUCCGCGCCGCAUUAGCUAGUUGGUAAGGUAACGGCUUACCAAGGCGACGAUGCGUAGCCGACCUGAGAGGGUGAUCGGCCACACUGGAACUGAGACACGGUCCAGACUCCUAGGGGAGGCAGCAGUAGGGAAUCUUCCGCAAGGGGCGAAAGCCUGACGGAGCAACGCCGCGUGAGUGAUGAAGGUCUUCGGAUCGUAAAACUCUGUUAUUAGGGAAGAACAAAUGUGUAAGUAACGAUGCACGUCUUGACGGUACCUAAUCAGAAAGCCACGGCUAACUACGU